GAGAACAUGCCCACUCACUAAAACCCUAGCUUCUUUUUGCAAGUUUGAAUGGUGUCGUUUUUUGGUGAUUGCACUGUAGCAAAUCAAAGGUAAUAGAUGGGUUCAUCCACGCUGGAAAGGAAGGCAGUUUUGGGGGUUUUAAACCCUCAGAAAGAGGGGCGAAGGAGAUGAAAAUAAGUAUCCAUAAUAAGACGGCUUCAUGCACCGUUAAUGACUCCAUCAGACAUGGUGCAAAUGACAGUCCAAGAGUAAAGAUUCCUGCCAUCAACAAAGUCCGG